GUCCUGUCGUAGUAUAUUUCAGGUCUAACCUGCCCAUUGAUAAAAUUUAACGGCCGCAGUAAUUUGACUGUGCUAAGGUAGCAUAAUCAUUAGUUUUUUAAUUGAAAACUGGCAUGAAAGGUUGAAUGAAAAAAUAUCUGUCUCUUUUUAAAUAUUAAAAUUUUACUUUUAAGUAAAAAGGCUUAAAUUUUAUUUAAAGACGAGAAGACCCUUUAGAGUUUUAUAUUAAAUUUAAUUUAUAGGUAUUUGAAUAUAUUUUAUUUUUAAAUUUAAUUUUUUGUUGGGGUGAUAAUUAAAUUUGUUUAACUUUAAUUUUUAAAAUACAAUAAUGUUUGAUGGUUUUAUGAUCCACAUUAAGUGAUUAUAAGGAUGAAUUACCUAAGGGAUAACAGCGUAAUAAUUUUAGAGAGUCCAAAUCGAUAAAAUUGAUUGCGACCUCGAUGUUGGAUUAAAAUUUGCAAAUAUGGUGUAGAAGUUAAUUUGCUUAGUCUGUUCGACUAUUAAAAUUUUACA
rnacentral:rRNA from 1 species